GAAAUAAGUUAAUCAAGAAUAAGCUUCUAACUUAAAUCUUAAGCAGUGAAACUCUGUUUUUAUUUCU
rnacentral:tRNA from 1 species